CGGAGGGUGCGAGCGUUGUCCGGAAUCACUGGGCGUAAAGGGCGCGUAGGCGGUCUGCUAAGCGUGUGGUGAAAGCUCGGGGCUCAACCCCGAGUCUGCCAUGCGAACUGGUGGACUUGAGCACUGUAGAGGCAGGUGGAAUUCCGGGUGUAGCGGUGGAAUGCGUAGAGAUCCGGAAGAACACCAGUGGCGAAGGCGGCCUGCUGGGGCAGUUGCUGACGCUGAGGCGCGACAGCGUGGGAGCAAACAGGAUU
rnacentral:rRNA from 1 species